ensembl:lncRNA
CAUGGGGACACCCCCUGGGACACCCCCCAGGACACCCCUUUAGGGACACGGUGGGGACACCCCCCUGGACACCCCCCCGGGGACACCCCUUGGGGAUUCCCCCCUGGGGACACCAUGGGGACACCCCUUUGGGGACACGGUGGGGACACCCCCUUGGGACAUCAUGGGGACACCCCCCUGGACACCCCCCCCCCAGGGACACCCCCUGGGGACACCCCCCUGGGACAUCCCUUGGGGACACCCCCUUGAGGACACCCCUGGGGACACCCCCCUGGGACACCCCUUUGGGGACACCACCCUUGGGGACACCCCCCUGGGGACAUCACCUUUGGAUAUCCCCUGGGGACCCCCCCCCCGGGGACACCCUUGGGGACACCCCCCUGGGGACAUCACCUUUGGAUAUCCCCUGGAGACCCCCCCCACGGGGACACCCUGGGGACACCGUGGGGACACCCCCCUGGGGACACCUCCUUGGCACACCCCCUUGGGAUACCCCCCCUGGGACGCCCCCCUGGGACACCCUUUUGGGGACACCCCCCCAGGGACACCCCUUGAGGACACCCCGUUGGGGACACCCCUGGGGACACCCCUGGGACACCCCCCUGGGGACACCCCCAGGACACCCCCCCCAGGGACGCCCCCGUCCCUGAGGGGGGUGACGGUGACGGUGACGGUGCCUCCUCUCUCUCUGCUCUCCUCUUGUCCCCGUGUCCUAAAUCGUCCCCGCUCCGUGUCCCCGUCCUUGUCCCCAUCCCUGUCCCCACAUCCCCAUGUCCCCGUCCUUGUCCCCACGUCCCCGUCCUUGUCCCCACGUCCCUGUCCUUGUCCCCAUGUCUCUGUCCCCACGUCCCCAUGUCCCUAUCCUUGUCCCCAUGUCCCCGUCCUUGUCCUCAUGUCCCCAUCCCCACACAUCUGUCCCCAUGUCCCCGUCCUUGUCCCCAUGUCUCUGUCCCCACGUCCCCAUGUCCCUGUCCCCAUCCUCAUCCCCAUGUCCCCACGUCCCUGUCCUUGUCCCCAUCCCUGUCUCCAUAUCCUCACGUCCCCAUCCUCAUCCCCAUAUCCUUGUCCCCAUGUCCCUGUCCCCAUGUCCCCACGUCCCCGUCCUUGUCCCCAUCCUUG